UUUUUUUUUUAAUGUUGGUAGUUGGUCUACCAAAUUCAUUGAUCAGAAGAAAGAAGGUUGGUCCAGUUUAUAAGGGAAACCGGAUUCAAAAACCAUACAAACAGCCUUUCGGCCAAUAACACACAUAUCGUCACGAGCAACGGGUCCCUCCGACCGGAUCCAUCUCCAAGACGAUGCCCCCAAGAGAGAACGUGACGCCGAAUGGCGCCGCAAUCGUCCGAUCUAAACUAGAUCAAGGGUUUCCCCCGGAGCACGUCGGGAAAGGCAAGGUGAGAGCAGCUACAUCGAUGCCUCCAACGAGGGAGCGACGCCCGCAAGCGCCGCCAUCGACGACUCCGGCCGCAACCGGAGUACGACUUUCGCCGGUAGUCUCACCUGCAUAUCCCUUCUCCCUUGUUUGGUUCAAGGACUGAUGAAUGAUGAACUGAUUCUCGAUUUGCAGAAAUAACACAUGUAGAAACAAACAACCAUGCUUCCAAAAGAGCCAUAGACCGGCCGAACGAAGCACACCAACGCUUUGCCGUGCCGUGCCUAACGAAGACGACGAGGCUGAUGACUCGACACUUGAACAGAUACAGCAAAAUUACUCUACGCCGUUCCACAGACAACAAAGUGAUUGAGACGCUUACGAUCUUGCAGUUGCAGGGAGUUUGACCUGUAUCUUCCCGGCAACACGGCCACGUCCUUGUGAUGAUCGUGAUAACAACUUUUGAAAAAGAAAUAGCAGGCAUCCGGCACUUACUUAUUGACCGCUAGCUAGCUAGCUAGCUGCUGCUAGUCACUCAAUUUACAACUGCAAAAGGGCGCGGGAGAAAUAAAUCUAAUCUACGAAAGCCAAACUGAAGCAAAAUGCCGUCACUAUGGGAGCAGCAGAAUUCCAUGGAUAUAUGGACAACAUACUGUAGCUAAGCUAGAGUUCAUCUUCAGACUUAUCCUUGUGUUUUCGUAGCAUCUGGAUAACCUGGUCCAGGGGUGGGUCUCCGGGCCUCCGGAAAAACUGGUCCCCGACCUUGAACUCGUAUGCCUCCGGCUGCCCUAGAAUGAACUCCUUCAACUACAAAAGCACACACAAAAUUAAAAGGACGCCGGUAAGAGCAGGAGGAGAAAACAUCGAUAAUGUUUCACGGUAAUUAAUUUAGCUGGACUUUGUACUGUACUCUGGUUUCAUUCUUUCUUUUUCCUAAAUACGCACGAGCGUGCAUACAUGAACCCCAUACAUUUCUUAUGCAGACGCUUAUAAACGAUGUAACGAUAUUUGAUAAGGAAUAAAAAGCCCUUAGGCUUGCUGGUAAAAAAAAGAGAGAGAGAAGAGGAUGGGGAAAAGAGCCCCUCCACAUUGGCAAGUAAGUACAUGUUAAAUAUAUUAUAUGGAACCCAACUCCACCGACUCUGGUUUCAUUCUGAUACUGGAAGCGGGGAUGAUCUAGAAAAGAAAAGCAUCGAUUGAUGACAAUGUUUCACAGUAAUUAAUUUAAGGUCUGAACAUCAGAUGCCGUGCGUGCUCUGCUCUGAACCAAAAUGUAAGGAGCCUUAAGAGAUGAUUCUAGUGAUAUAUUAGAAGGGUGUGUCUAGAUCUCGGUCGACUGAGAUUCAACGAGAAGAGAAGUCUAAAAGAAAAUUUUGCUCGGAAAUCCACGUAGGAUCCUACGAAUAUAGCAUCGAAUCAGAGCCUGAGACUUGGUUAAGUCUUAAUCGACUGAGAUUUAGCAAUCCCGAUAUUAGAAUUGUAGCUUUUUGGUGGUAUGGAGACUGAUUUUUGUUUCAUGCCUAAUGCCACUACGAAUUGGCAGACAAAAUGUUACAGCGUCUGAUGGAUUAAUCUACACAUGAUGAUCUUUAACUCUGCAGUGUCAGGGCAGAAGGAAAUUAAGCCUGACUGCCCGAGAGCACCUAACAGGAAAUGCAGAGCAAAAAUGGGUGAUCGAGGGGUGGAUCCUCCUACCUCGCGCAUGUCUCGCCCUCUCUCCAUGGUGAACAUGAGCGUGCCGAAGUCCACGGCCACGAAUUUCGCCGCUACCGAGCCGGUCCGCAGCACGUUGCUCCACCGCGUCGCGAUCCCCGCCACCUCCUCCCGGGACCGCCGGACGCCGGGCCGGAGCUUCACGAAGCCGAGCGAGGGCCCGCCGUGGCCGCGGAGGAUCUCCGCCCGGAGCGCGGCGGGGUCCAUCCGCGACAGGUCCGGCGGCGGCCGAUUGGGGACGUCCCGCGUCCCGGAGCCGGCGCCCCAGUGCCGCCAGUCGUCGUCCUCCUCGUCGUCCACCACGUCGCGGAGGUCGUCCGGGAUCGCCGCCCGCUUCGCCCCCAUCGCCGCGCCGCACAGGAGGAGGAGCAGGGCGGCGCCGGCGACGAGGACGAGUGUGCCCUGCCGCGCCAUUCUCGCCGGCGCGCGCGUGGAAGACGCCCGUGAUGAGACGGUUUCGGUCAGUCUCCAAACGACUGGCGUGUGGCUAACCAACUAGCCAACCGCCACACGAAUGACUUUUUCCUACUGAAACCACCCCCAAAUACAGCAUUCUCUCUUUGGAGGCGUACAAAUUCAACAUUUACAUACAUGUACUCCAUCCGCUUCAAAAUACUUAUUUGAAUUUCUACAUUUGUUCUAAGUCAAACAUUUUAAGUUAACAGAGUUUAUAGAAAAUUAUACCAACAUCAAUCAACCAUAUAUAGUAUGAACAUAUAUUUUAUGGUAAAUCUAAGAAGACUUAUUUGAUGUUGUACAUGUUGGUGCAUUUUUCAAUAGAAUUAGGACAAAUCUAGAACUUCAAAUGUUUUGAGACGGAUGGAGUACAAACUAACUACUGAACCCCCAAACUGAAGAGAGAACCACAUAUUUAUUUGCACCAACUUAUAGUGUUCAUCCAGCUAGGCACAGUUUGGAGCGCAGGAAUUUCACCCGAAAACAGGUCAAUCCCGUAGGAAAUCGACGAGAAUUCUCGCUUUUCAACUGUGACCUUUAAGAAACAAUUUGUUUUUGAUCGACGCAUAUCCACUCAGAAGGUAAAUUUAAGUGCUGCUGCAUAUUAAACUGAGGCUGGAGGUAACAUUAGAAAACACUGACAGUGCACUUAUUUACAUGGCAUUCAGACUUGGGUGUGGACGAACUACAGGCUGUUUAAUUGCAGUUGCUGCAACAAAACAAGGUGUGCGAAUUGAGCCGGAGAAAUAGGUCCUGCAUCGACUAG
rnacentral:lncRNA from 1 species